ACAGGUAUCUUUGAUAACGGACAACGUCAUUUUAAUAUAUCGUUUUCAACAAAGCGGUAAUGAAAUUUUUGAUAAACGGAUUUUCGGUAAUAUCGAUAAAAUCAUCGUUCGCUAAACUAAAGAUCAUGACGUGCAAAACAUGGAAGCGUAUCACGUUUUCUUUUUGUGGAUAGAAAGAAUCGCUGAUACGAAGAAAAAGGAUAUUGUUCUGGCGUCACGCGUAAAAAGAAAUCUGCUUUAUCGUUUGUAAACAUAAUGUCAUCGUGCUGCCUUCUCUACGCACCCGUGUGUGUCGUUUGCGUUAAAAGUGUAUGGAUUCGGCUAAUAGAAAUACGAAAGGAGUGCGAGCGUCGACAAAUUUUAGUAAAUCUUCUUUUCCACUUUCACGUUUCCGAGGAAUCGAUAUAGGCGUUAACGUUUCGCCGAAGACGGAAAAUAUCGAUCGGUUUGAAUUUGAACAGUGGCGAGAAGGAGAGUAAAAGAUACGAUAUAAGUAGGUAAACCGGGCAAUGGUAUCGAAGAGGACUCACCUUGAUCCAGUUGAUC